rfam:Triticum aestivum genome assembly, contig: Triticum_aestivum_CS42_TGACv1_scaffold_602590_7DL
UACAUACUCCCUCCGUUUCGAAUUACUCGUCCCAGAAAUAGAUGUAUCUCGAUCUAUUUUAGUUCUAGAUACAUCCAUUUCUGCGACGAGUAAUUUGGAACGGAGGAAGUAUAUA